GUGCUGUUACUGCUCUCAAAGGGCUGGUUCAGCUUAGAUGAAAAAAGUUUUAUCAGCUCACGUAAAUUCUCCAUGGCUGCUUUGUUUCCCACCGCUUUUUUUUUGCGCCUGCUCAUCAACAAGGUCGUUUCCCGAUUUGCUCUGUGUCUUUUCUACGUCCAUAAACAAAAUUCAUAUUUUGUUGUAGCUGUAUUUCAGUAAAAAAUAAAGUUGAUUUCGAGUUCUGCGUUGCUGCAUCUGUUGAUACCUCUGCUGCUAUUCGGCUGGUUACGUCUGUUCCGUACAGACGUCAGCUUACCACCUACUUCAUGAUCGGUCGAUGCGAACGUUGUUACUCACCAGUACUGCCCUACUUUACAAAUAUGUAUAUCUAUGUAUAUAUUAUAUUGUAUUACAUGUCCUUAAACUGCUUACAGACUAAGCAAGUAGUAAUUGCAAAAAUUAUAUCAAUUACUUACUUAAUGAGAAAAAUAUAUGAAACUUUUCUUGUACAUUUUUCACCGUUAAUUGAGUUCAGUCCCAAGAAUCUGAUUUUAAAAUAGCGUCCUUAAAAAAUGUAACGCUAAAUAGGGUUUUUUUUGUAAAAAUAAAUUUUCAGUCCAUGAAUCCAACGCUAACUCAAAUUCAAAUUUUUUAAUGAUAAAGUUUAAUCAAACCUUUCAUUGUAACGAGCAUAAUAUUAAUUUUACACAUUACGCGAUGCGAUAAAGCACUGUCGAUGUCGAUGAAAAAUGUUCGAGUUUAGGAAGGUAAAUUUAAUUUAUUUCUUCACAUUUGCUAAAAAAUGGUGUAAAUUCGUAUUUCGUCAUAUGUGACCUAUAGUUUCUCUAAGGCUAUUCUAAGCCCAAUAUAAUUAAGAUUAAUUUGAAUUCUACUAGAAAAGUUGUAUAGAAACAGUAUCCUGCUUUUAUUAUAAAACUGGUUAAUUAUGUUAUUUGAAGCACUAACCCACUUUAUAUUUUUCAGAUGUGCCUAAUUUUAAGAAAGUCGAAUUGGUUUUUUAGUGGAAGACGAAUUCAACCUAUAGUAUAUUCUUAUACGUCUCGUUUUGCAGGUAUCACUUAAGUUCCGUAAUUUCUUAAAGUAAUCUUAUCAAAUUGGUUGCGAAUGGUAUUCAUUUAUGAAAAAUUUACGCAAUUCAAUCAUCAAGAUGAGCAUUGAAUCGAUAACGGAUAUAAUCGACCACCAGUCGCUCACUAAUCAACUGGACGAUGACAACGAGGUGAUAACCACUGCUGAAACCACAAUGUCUGAGAGUUGUGAGGCCGACGUUGGCGCUGGCGCUGACGCUUGUGUUAAUCACACGUUAUCGGCACUUAAUUCAGCACUGGUUAUUGGGCAAUCAAAGCCAUCUUCCACGUUGGCCCCAGAUUUGUCAAGGCAUGACGUCGUCAUAGAUGAUCAUAAUGUGGUUGCUCAUACGGUAGUAACAACUAGUGAUGGUACUAUUACGGAUGUAGUGGGUGCCGGUCCAGUGGUAAUGGUACGCACAAUCAUAGAUGGCCUAAGCCAUAGCCCGGUACAUACGACGUUUCAACCAUCAACAACUGGUUCUGAUGAAAGGGAACAUGAGCAACAAUUGCAAAUGCAACAACAACAACAUAAGCACCGCGAAAGCCAUCAUCAGCAACAAGCCCAUCAUCACCACCAAAACCAUAACCACCAUCAAUCACAAGAGAAGAUGGUGAUGUCUCAUCAGCAAUUAUCGCAAAUGACAAAUGGGCUCCAAGCUCAACAGCAACAUAGCCUUCAGCUCCAUCAGCACCAAUGUCAUAAAAAUCGUUUACACAACGACAGUCCCGUGGAAUUUGCUGACUCGGAUGUUACCCUUAAUGAAUUGUCAGUUUGUUCUUCGCCAAACUCAGGCAGCGUUGCAAACAUCAUAGGUGUUAAACAGGAAGAAAAAGUAAUAGUACUACAUGAGCGUGAUAUGAUUAAUAGGAUUGUCAAGAGGAUAUCUGAAAAUACUAAUGGUAUGCAUCAAAGCAUUGAUUGCGGGGCACUAGACGCAAGUCACAUUGAUGUUGGUGUCAAUGUCGGAGUAGAUGUAAUUGAUGAUAUUUCGUCGGAUUCCGUUGAAGUGACGCUAAAUCAACACCACCAUCAACAUGUACAACAACAACAACAGAACUUGCAUCAACACCAGUAUGUUAGUAGAUGCAGCGACAGGAAUGGUGGUAAUGUACUAUCUCAUUAUUCGCAGCAACAUGAACAACAGUCAAAUCACGGGCAGCAGGUCGGAGUUGGACCCAAACAUCGAAAUCCUCAACAUUCUGUUCAAGACGAAAGCGAUCAUCAGCACGAUCAAACGUGCCAUCAUGGGGCGCUGUCAGUAAUUGUACAGCAGCAUGAUGAUUCCCGCGAUACGGCUACACAUAUGCUUAGUCCGGAGCUAGGUGUUGGCAGUGUUGGCAUCAUAGGAGAUAACUCGUUAGAGCCAACCACUUAUCCAACCUUGACGUCAGUGAAUGAACGGAUAUCUCCACCAAGCUUCAGUCCUGCAUCGUCUUAUGCGACUUUGACGCCUUUGCAACCUCUACCACCUAUUUCGACCAUGUCGGAUAAGUUCGCUUACGGUGGCCACAUAAAUGGUAAUGGUGUCGGUGUCGGCGUAAGUGGUGGCGGUGCUAGCAGUAACAGCAAUUCAUCAUCGGGUGGAGUUGGACCAUUUGAGGCAAUACAGCAUCAGAGUAGUCUUGGUGGACUUAGCUUAAGCAGCCUUAGCGGCGUACAAUCGCCAUACUCAUCAUAUGACAAACUUCCAUCCAUGGGUAUGACAAUGUCACCGCCGCACAAUUAUACAACCUCACCUUCUCAUACAUUAUCCAGCAUGGUGGUGGCUUGUGAACUACACACUGCAUCACGUAGUCCUUGCGACGGCCUAUCACCACAAUCUCCCUAUAGUCAUACCACGGAAUUACAUUCUCCUACUCUGUCAUCGACUUGCAAAACAACCAGCAUUGGUGUUAUAUCUGGCCGUGUCUGCAGCAAUGGCUGCCUUACCACUGGGGACACGUCUUUACAAAUUCGUCAGUCUGAUUCACAGAAACAAGUUAUAUGUAUUUCCCCGUCCGUUACAAUCGGAAAUGAAACGGUUGUCGAGGAGAAUGCUGUUGCAACUGGCUACGAAUCACCAUUUAACACACAUCGGAAAGAUCUCUUUGUUACCAAAACGCCAACCUCUUCGUCAACGUCUGGUGGAAAAAGUUCCCACUUGCAGUUACAGCGCAGUCCUGUAUUGAGUCCGCACUCUGUGGCAGCGAGUUCAGUGUCAUUAAAUUCACCAGAAAGUUGUAGUAUGGUAAAUCAGCCGGUGGUAACGUUGCCACCCAUAAGUGGAGCUAUGGCCACACUAUCCGCUGCUUCUCAUGGUAGCAGGGUUAUAACUGAUAUCUCCUCGUUGGUGGAUCGUGAUACAGUAGCAGUUUCACUAACUCCAACGCCCUCGCCAAAUGAUCUGAUGGGGGCAUCCACCAAUCUAUUGACCAUUCAUAAUCCGAUUGGUCAUAUGCAUCAACAAGAGCAACACCAUAUACUCCAUGUAACAACACAACAACAGCACUUAGCACAACAUCAACAUGGUGACGGUAAACAGUCGCAUUCCGCAACUAGCGAAAGUAGGCAUAGUGGUAACCUGAGUAACAACAUUAACUUGCGCCUUUCGAAUGUAAUUAGUGGUAGUGGUGAAAAUUUACAUAAGGAUAACAAUAUGUGUAAUUUGGUAAUACAGCAGCGCCAGAAUGCACAACAACAAUUCAAUAAUGAGCAGCAACAACAACAGUUGCAGUUAAGUCUUCAACAAGCAACAGGUAUUAAGAAUGGAAGCACCAGCUCCAGUGGCUCGGGUAUUGGUCGCGGCAGUAACAGUAAUAGCAGUGGUGGUGGUGGUGGUGGAUCUGGUACUAGUUCUGGUAUAAGUGGUCUUAAUGGUAAUAGUAACUUGGAGGAAAUCAAUACCAAAGAGCUGGCACAACGCAUAUCGGCAGAACUGAAGAGGUAUAGCAUUCCACAAGCGAUAUUUGCGCAACGCGUGCUUUGCCGAUCACAAGGUACACUCUCUGAUCUCCUGCGUAACCCAAAACCUUGGUCAAAGCUUAAAUCUGGGCGUGAGACAUUCCGACGUAUGUUCAAGUGGUUACAAGAGCCAGAAUUCCAACGAAUGUCGGCUCUUCGAAUGGCGGCCGCACAAAUACCUCAACGCAGCAGCACCGCUACCAGCGGCAGUAACAGCUCCGCUUCUAAUUCCACAGAUGUUAGUAUAGCAAGUACUGGGAGUGUUGUUGCCAACAAUAAUUCUAAUGGAGUAACCAAUCUUGGUGGUAAUGGAGUGUGCCGUCGUAAGGAAGAGCCCCAUAUAGAACAUAUGCCUCAACCAAAAAAGCCACGAUUGGUAUUUACGGAUCUACAAAGGCGAACACUUCAAGCAAUAUUCAAAGAAACUAAAAGGCCUUCUAAGGAGAUGCAAGUUACGAUUGCCCGCCAGUUGGGCUUAGAGCCAACCACCGUUGGCAAUUUCUUCAUGAAUGCCCGCCGUCGUUCCAUGGACAAAUGGCGUGAUGACGAUUUGAAGGGUAUGGGCGUACACCGUCAGGGCAACAAUGUUGAUGGCGGAAAUCAUUUUAUUAACAAUAAUAACAAUAAUAAUAAUACUUGUAAUGACUACGAUUUUCACCAAAACCAACAGUACCAGCAGCACCAGCAUUCUCGGCAACAUCAGUCAGUACUUUCGCCGACAAAUCAACAUUCCCUUGACCUUGACGACGAUACUAAUAUGGACUUAGAUCUAGGCCAUGAUGAUUUUGAUCUCGAGGGCGAGCACGAUCACGAAGCGGAAAAUGAUGAUAUGUUGUGACAUCAUCCAGGAAAAAUAAAAAAUGAACGAAAGUAUCGGCAACACCAUCAUCAUAAUGAGAGGCGAAAUCAAAUUAUUUGUAUUACACAUUCGAAUGGUAUAAAAAAAUUACAACAUGGGAUCGGCACCAAUCAAAAACAUAUUGAACGCGUGGUCACAAAGAUAGAAACAACGCAUACAGCCGUUGCCAGGGUCGGAGUUGUGCGCGCCAGCGAAAUUUUUGUGUGUAAAACUAAUUUAACGAUCGUCAAGAAGGAAAACAAACAUCCUUGUACAAGUUUUUCUUCUUCCACAGAAGCGGUCGCUCGCGUAGGAGACACAGUCCAACCGGAAAAUAAAUCGGUGUUUUUACAAACUCGCACGAGAGGAGAUCAAGAACGUCUUAUUGCUAGUAGUGGUUGCGGUGUGCCACCAGAUAUGCUUAAGAAUAAGUUAGAAAACCAAGGUCGCAAUAACAAUAAGCAAAGCAAUCAAAAUUUAGAUAGACAAAUUAAAAAUAGGUUUGAUAACGUCGCCGAUGUUCACUAUAACAACGUUGGCGAUGUUAACGGCGAUAAAAGUCUCAAGAAGAAACGAUUGUGUCUGAAAAUUGAUAGUUGUUUAAAGCAUGUCGUAGCCGCAAAUACAAACUAUAAAAAAGAAAAAAAUAAUUGUGUUGUGCAAAAUAUUGUAAUUUAUGAUUAUUUCAUUUUUAUGUACGCACACACAUACUUCGUAACCACAGAAGAAUUCGACCUUACGUUGGAAAGAAAUAGUGAGGACUCAAGCCGUAGCAAUUUAGAGAAUCAUUUUGCAGUUUCUAUAAAAGAGAGUGAUGAUAAAAUAUAUGAGCUGUAUCGAAAUAAUUUCAAGAAAACUGAUAAAGAUAGAAACAAGAGAGCCGUAAGCACUGUUGUCACUGAUUUUAUACAAGGCAAUGAUGAUUCCGCUGAUUUACUCAUGGUUAGAUUUAAAGCGAAAUUAUCCGUGCACAAUAGUAAGAACAUCGACUCCCACGGUGUAGUUGAUGCCAAUCUGAAUCGGCAGAAUUUUGUAAAAAAGACUGUCAAUUCGUUUGAUCAAUAAUUGCAAUUGCCACAAAAUGCCAACAUGGAAGGUGGAAUAAGCGGUCAAUUGGAGAUUAAGGUGGUAUGCAAUCAACCAAAUGACAGCAACAACAGCUCCCAUCUACGAGUUUGAAAACGAAUAAACAUAUAUUUCAUUGGUUAACUGUACCAUAAUGUUAUGCACGCUGAGCUUGAAUCUACAUGCCAACGAGUAAGGGUGGACUUGCCUUAUGCACGGCAUAGUCCUGUUAAUGUUAAAUUUACAACAAAAUAUGUCCUGCAAUUACAAAAGAAGCAACUACUCGACCAUCAUAAGCAGCAACAAUAUCAAAGUCCAAGGCAGAUGAUGACAAUACUGACACCGUAUCCUUUGACAAUGAAAGCUAAUACACUACUCGUAAAUUAAGAUUGGUACAAUGUUAUUGAAGAUAACGCUCUUGAUAUUAAUAAUUUAGAGAGCAUCAAUAGUUUGAGUGAACCACUGACCCAAGGUAUUUUACAACGCGGCCAAUUGAACCCUGGACAUUGCGACAAGCAUAGAGAUAUCGAGAAUGACACUUCUUCACGCAAUCCCAAUCGCGUAAGUGGGAGCUACUGCAUCGAGUAUUUGAAUGAUGAUUAAGAAGACCUAAAGGUUAUGUUAAUAUGCCAGCUGUAUUUUAGGCAAAUAUUUCAAAAAUAACGGGAUCAUAUGGGAAAUAUUACGUUCUUCAAAAUGAGAUAUAUAUAUGGAUGAUAGCAGGUACAGGUUGGAGGAAAUGCCAUUAUCUCCAAUUGGGGAAAUGAACGAAGCGAUGCUUUUUACUUUCAUUGAAUAUAUCGCCGUAUAUAUCACAAAGAGGCCACCAUUUACAACUUGCGAAGAUUUGCAUACAUAUAUAUAUAUAUAACAACAACUACAGCAAAAUGAACAAGAUGUAAAAUUAAAAAUACACAAACAGAUUUCUAUUUUUUAACGAGCUACACUUAGUGCAAUAUAGUAUGUAUUUACAUGUGUGUACAUAUGUAGAUAUAUAUAAUAUCUACAAUAGAAUCUAUGCAGAAUUUAUAGAUGAGUGCAAGUGGAAUAUGCACAAACAUAUAUACUCGUACAUCCAUUUUUGGUGGUUAAUACUGGGCAUGUUUUAGUUGUAAGUAAUGUGUGUAUAUUUGUACAUAUUCUAGCAUGAAAAUAUAACGCAAAUAUCAUACUAUGACAUAAAUAUGAAUGUAUAUUUAGCAUGUACUAGUUGUAUUUAAAAAUAUAUAUAUUUCAUUUAAAAUGUCGCCAAUAUUUAUCGGCAAAUAUUUAUGAAUUGAAGGGAAUAGGAAACGUUUUUGUUGAAUAAAUUAAUAUUUUAUAUGAGUGACUAUUUAAAAAAUAUAAAUAUAUGUAUAUAUACAUAUGUAUAUAUGUUUUAAUAUAAUAGAUUAUAUUUAACAAAUACGAGUAUCAUGGCGUAUUUAUGUACUAACAUACGUGUAUACAUAAGUAUAUAGUCGAAAGAUUACAUAUAUUACUAUAUACGAAAUAUAUAUAAUAAGCACAUGAUUCUAAUAGAAAUUCAAAAAAAUUUGGACAUUUUAAAUGCUUACGGUUGCCGAGAAUGCCAUAAAACGUACCGUCUUUUUCUAUUUCACUUUAUCGCAGAAGAUUACCUUCUAUGUUUUGUACUCUUGCUAUCGUGCGUAAAUAACAAUACUUUAAUAAGAUUUGAAUAGUUUUUAAUAUAUUUUUUUUUAAGUAUGGAACAUAUAAAAUAAAAUAAUUAUAAAUAAGCAACUCUGAAUACACGUCAAAUAAUUAAAUAAGCUAGCUUAAUAGUGGAAUAGUAAAAGGAAAAUGUUUUUGGCAGAGUCUGACGGUAAACUGACUAUGAUAUACGAGUACACUUCAUCUUUUGAAUGUGUACUCUAAAAGAAAAGUAUGAAAACGACCCAGUAAAUGUAACUGCUGCAAUAUUAAAAUUACCAAUUGCUCUGUUUGUAUAACAUUUAAUUAUGUAUGUGUAUGCGGUAGUCAACAUUUUUAUAUCCGACUACACUAUGUACACAGCGUAGCUCUGUUUUGUUCAAUUAAAGGUUGUAGUUUAAAAAUAAUCGAGGUACAUACAUACAUACAUGGUAUGGGUAUAUGGGUAUAUAGUAGGUAUGUAUCUACCUAAUAGAAUUUCGAAAAAAAUGUAACUAGUGAUGCUGAAAUAUAUAUUACUUCAUCCUUGCAAUAAUUAACUAGAAUAACAUUUAAAAUUUUCCACUCGCACAAUCCAUUGUGCUAUAAAAUAAAGAUAUCGUUGUUUUAUGUAACUUGUCCUUUUGGAGAUAAUAAGAUCUCGGAAACAAACAACAGAUAUUUUCAAAUAUUAAAGAAAUUGCGUUGAUUUAAAAACAAAUAACACAACUGAAAUCUUAUUAACACACUUAUAUAUUUUGCCUUAGAAAAAUUUUAAUGCAAAUUUAUGUCUUGUUACCUUCUUGAUGAAAUGCGGCCAAAUCAUAUAUAUUUUAUUAUUUUCGGGGAGAAACCGAAUUCGAUAAUUGAAAGUGGUUGUUGAAUAAUUGAGUUCUAAAUAUUGAAUUUGACAUAUACAUAUAUGUAUGUUUGCACGUAGGUCCACAUUUACCUUUUUCACACAUAUUACCAUAACAAUUGGAUUCCUAUAAUCAGUUUUACUUGAACUUAGCCCUUUAUACUAGUUAUUUAUAAGGGGUGCUCCAUUUCUGGCUUCCCUACUUUCUUCAACAUCUAAAAAACGGAGAAUUCAAACGUAAGGGCAUGAAUUAAGAACAUUCUCUGGCAUUUCAUUUUUGAAAACUUUCUCUCUCAAAUAUUAGCAGCGAUUACGUCUCAGAUGGUCCAUUUCUUGAGUCCAAUCUUCGGUUUCCCGUUCGAGCAUUUCAAAUGGUAACUUUCGAAUAAUAGGCAUGAUGUUUUGCUUUCAAGUCUGAAUCGAUGUGGGAUUGACCGCAUCGACUUUAGACAUUUUAUAUCCACACGAGAUAAAAGUCUACCAGUGUGAUAUCAAACGACCUUGGUGGCCAAGCAAAUGGUACAAAACGUGAAGAUAUGCGCUCACGGAAAUGUUCUCUCAAUAAAUUCGGUUCUACUUACCGGAGUUGCCCCGGUUUUUAUCCGGCUCGCCAACGGUCAACGCCUCGCAGCUGGGUUGCUCCAAAUCCCUCUUAUUAGGGCUGGCGUCGAAACCAACCCUGGGCCGAUGGACUACUUCUGCACCAAUAGGGAUUGAACCACAAGUUAUGUGGCCCCAUGCUGCCCAAGCGCGCCCCCAGCCUCCACGGCAGUGUCUUCAGCACCUUUACCCACUAUGGGUAACCAACAGACCUCUACAGUUUCACAGACAUUAACAAGCCUCCCGACUUUGUUUCCAUGGGUCACCGGACAUUUGUAAACUUUAAAAAAGAUAACUGGUUCGACUUAACGGAAUUUACCGAGAACGCCUUUAGUGCUCUCCCCACGCCAUCAGACGUUACUACUGGUGAACGUUUAUUCCGCAUGGUUGUCGUGACCGCUGCCGCCCGCUUUAUCCCGGCAGUCCGAAUGGCGGAAAAGCGCCCAAGCGGCAGUAGUAGCAUAGAGAUUGUCGAACCCGAAAAGAUGCGGGAGCUAUUUAAGCCGAUUUUUUCCACUGCAUCCUUCGGUAGACAAAGCGAGGAGACGUGAAAUCCGCCGUAUGCGCUGUGCUUGAUUUCUCCAGGGAAAAGAUUCAGGGGGUCAUCAGGAAGGCGAAAGCCUCCAAAUCCUUCGACCGCGACGGAAUUAGCUCGCUGAUGCUAAAAAAUCUUGGACCAGCGGGAGCACAGUUUCUCACCAAGGUCCUAAACUUGUCUUUGAUCACCCUAAUGAUACCUGAUGUGUGGAAACGGACAGGGUGGUCCCGCCCUGCUGCUCCCGACCUUCACUGACCAUCUGCGUCAAGCAGCACAUCAGCAUGGCUUCCAAAAAGUGAACUGUGGUGCACUAAAUGCCAUAAACACCCAGAUAGUCAAUGGCUUGGUUUUGGUUAAACCAACCCUGCCCGCGAGCUAUAAAAGUAGCUCUGGAUUUGUCAAAAGCUUUUGACACAGUCAACCAUUCAGUGCUACUAACGGAUUUCGAGGAAUUCUCAUUACCAGCGGGGUUGCAGAGGUGGGUCUUUUGCGAAGUGAAAUAUCGAAACCCCGAAAAAUUAAACAGAGGGUUCCCCGCUUUUGUUUAAUUUUUACAUUUCGAAACUCCCUCCUCCACCAAAAAGAGUUUCCGUAACUUCGUAUGCCGAUGAUUGCACGAUAAUGGCGUCUGGCCAGGAUAUUGAUGUCCUCUGUUCGAAAGUGAACUGCUACCUUGCCGAUCUUUCUCACUUCUUCAUUGUACGACAACUGAAAAUACAGCCGACCAAAUCCUCGGCUACCCUCUUCACCAGCUGAACGAAGCAGACGAAGGAAUACAAGCUUGAACUAGAUGUGAAGGUUGAUGACGUAAGAAUUCCAACGGUAAACAACCCAAAGUUAUGAAGAGUAACACAAGACAGCCUGAACUUCUUCACUCCGCAUACGACGAGACGCAGAUGAAGAAGCUACAGGCCUGCCAGAACACAAGACACCUCCUGAUGCCGCCGGAGCAUUACUUGCAUAAUGAAGCAUCUACGCAAGAAGUUGAGGAGCAUAAUGCUUUGUUGAGCACGCGGCUCCUAUUGGGAUGUCACCGCAGGGAGCCCCCCAAUAGGAACCUGAUGACCUCGGCAAUUUAGAUUGAUAAAACCUUUACCUAAGCGGGGUUAGCGAACCGCUACAACAAUAACAAUAACAUGAGUGGGAAGUGGCGCCGUAUGUUAAAACCAAAUAUCGCCAAGAUAACGAGCUUCAAUUUCGGUUAUCAUGGCGAGCAUUGACGGUCUCACCGGCAUCAAUCCAGGCUGCUACGUCCCAGGUAUGGCAAUUUUGUUUGUUUACAGCCACCAAUCGGCCUCAUCGCUCGAAAACUGCGGAUCUUUUCGGAACUUUUCAAAGCCCGUUGCAUACAUAAAUAUUAAUGUAUAUCAAAUUAAUUUAAUAAAUCAGCGGCCGCGGUAGCCGAGUGAUUAGCAUUGCAAACUGCCAUUUGGAAGGCUCGAGUUCGAGUUUAAAAAAAUGUAUUUAAAUAAAAAAGGAAGCUAAAUUUACUAACUGCGGUCUACCUUCGGCUGGGAAUGUCAACCCCUCCGAGCGUAUUUGCUCAUAAGAAAUAAUCAGCCCUUUGCGGGCGGCUUAGUAUGAACUGUAGAUUCUUACAUUUGUUGAAAAAAACAUAAACACGCCAAACAAAGAAUUGGAACAGCAGCUCGGCCGUUUACAAAGCGCCAAUUAUAUGUAUAUAUAUAUUAGGUCAUGUAAAAUGAUCGGUCGGUUUUUUUUUAUUGAUUGUUCAAAAUAUGAUAACUUUCUGUACAUUUGUCCGAUUUAAGACAAAUAUGUGCUGCUUUGUUCGUAAGUUUGUUGCCAACGAGAUGCCAACUUCACUUACGUAAAAGGCUGCGUCCCUAUUGGCAAAAAAAUCGGAGAGCCAAUUUUAUCAGGCCUCUCUGGAGACCAACUUCUCAUCAUUAAGCUCGUUGGCCUGGCACUUGGUGCCAGGUCCGGACUAUAAGGUGGUUGCGUUAGGACCUCCCAUCCGAGCUCCUGGAGCUUUUGGCGCGUCACUAAAACGUGUGUGACCUGGCGAUGUCCUGAUAGACAUCAUAAUUAUUUCAGUUGUUCUUCAUUAAAUUAUGACAUUCUUGGAGGCAAUUAUAUUUCAGACAAUUUAGCAUCUCAUUAUGUAAAAAUUGAAUAGUCGCCCUCACUAAAAAUAUAGUUUUCCGUCAAGUUUCUUUCCAUAUUUUUGAGAGAGGGUAAACAUCCGGCUUGUGUGGGUGAACGUCUAGUUACUUAUCCAUUGAAUGUGAAUAGUCGGCAGCUGUCAAGGAUGAAAAGUGUUUUUAAUUGUUAGAUAUAAUUCGGUCACAGUUAAUAGCCCUCGCCACGUUAGCAGUGAAAUAUGCAUUGUUAUCCGUUCUUCUAAGUCCAGUGCCUUUUACGGUAAGAAUACAAGGUUUUAUCAACUACAUUUCAAAAUGCUUAUAUUUGCAAAAUACAUUUUUCAAAAUAUAUACGUUUACACAUGGAAGGCGUAUCUAUGUUAACCUAGUAUUAAAAAAAGUUGCUAUUUACGGAAAAUCGAUAAAAAGAUUUAGACUUACUUAGCUUUUGGAAAAUUAUACUCUCCAUUUAUUUCUUUCAAAGAUUUAAGCUUGAAGACGAGUUUUUGAAUUAGAAAAUAGGCUGAUGAGGUUUUUGGAGAGAGCUGUUUUGAAAAAGAAAAUGCAUUUAUUUUAAAUCCUACAUGUUAUAAAACAUAUCUUCAUUAAAAUAUGAUUACAGGUUAUUACAAAAUCUUCAAAUUAACUAAGCACAUGUAAUUUUAAAAUUUUUAACUUACUAGAUACAUGAUCAUAAAUAUUGUUCUUAUCUUGCUGUAGUGCUCUUUUAAAACUUUGUAAAUAUUUAAACUUUCUUAACGCAAUAGAAAGUGAUUUUAAAGGUUCUUCCAAAAAAAAAACACUUAAAAUUCAGCAAAAUACAUGAAAUCUUUAUUUGAAUCGAUUAUACGG
rnacentral:misc_RNA from 1 species